rnacentral:lncRNA from 1 species
ACCUGCCUAAUCCAGAAUAAUCUCCAAGGAGAAGUGCUUUCCCAGUUUUCAAUCCCAGCAGGAAGAACUGAAGUUAGAUGCCUGGAAGAACUUCCCAAUAGCUGAAGAGAGCAGUUCGAAGAUCAUGGGAGAAAGACUGGUUUCUACCCAGCAUGUUCCCCACGGGGCCAUGAGAGUCCAGGGCUGGACGUGUCUGUGCGGAGAGGUCUGGGUGGAGCCAGGUGAGCGGCUGUCCAGGGAUGUGCGCUCACCUGGGUGGCCCAGCAAGGCUCUGCCGCUGCCCUGGAGCCGGCU